ACGUCAGGGCUUGAACGGAGGGAGUAUGUGAGGACCCGUACGGGUAUGCGUUUAGUUCCACAUCGGUUAUUCGCUUGGUAGAUCUUAGGUACUUAUACAGAAUCAAGAAACCUAAAUAAUACCUUCCGGCUAACCAUUUUGGGUGAGGUCUUAGGUUGUUACCAAUGGUAUCAGAGCGGACUUGGCUCAUAACCUAUGUGGAUUAGGGGACACUGUAGCAUGGAUUUAUUAGGGAUGACCACGGGCCGAUCGUGGUGUUUGUGAUUAAAUUUGAAUAGAUUUGAACCCUUAGUCUGACGAGGACGUUAGGGCU
rnacentral:lncRNA from 1 species